rnacentral:lncRNA from 1 species
UGAAUCUAAGGCCGAUCCUACUACACAUCUAAAGAUCUAAUACAAUUUAAAAUCAUGUCUUCAUAACAUAAUAGUAAUAUUUUAGUAAAAUUAAUUAACUUAAAUUUAAAUUUUGUUUUUAAAGAUUAUUUAGGAUGUACAAUAAUUUAUUAAAUUAUUUUAAUCAAAAAUAUUCAAUAACUUCAUAACAUAUUUAUUCCAAUAAAAAUAUACUCCUUUUAUAUAAGAGAGUAC